GACAGAGGCCUCGAGCGUUAGGCGGAAUCACUGGGCUUAAAGCGCGUGUAGGCGGACCGUUAAGUACCUUGUGAAAUCCCACGGCUCAACCGUGGAACUGCUGGGUAUACUGGCGGUCUUGGGCCAUUCAGGGGUCGCCGGAACAAGCGGUGGAGCGGUGAAAUGCGUAGAUAUCAGGAGGAACACCCGUAGCGAAGGCGGCACUCUGGGCCGAUACUGACACUGAGGAGCGAAAGCGUGGGGAGCGAACAGG
rnacentral:rRNA from 1 species